rnacentral:rRNA from 1 species
UGGGGAAUAUUGCACAAUGGGGGAAACCCUGAUGCAGCAACGCCGCGUGAAGGCUGAAGGUCUUCGGAUUGUAAACUUCUUUGAUUGGGGACGAAUAAUGACGGUACCCAAAAAACAAGCCACGGCUAACUACGUGCCAGCAGCCGCGGUAAUACGUAGGUGGCGAGCGUUGUCCGGAAUUACUGGGUGUAAAGGGCGUGUAGGCGGGGAUGCAAGUCAGAUGUGAAAUUCCAAGGCUUAACCUUGGCGCUGCAUCUGAAACUGUAUCUCUUGAGUGCUGGAGAGGAAAGCGGAAUUCCUAGUGUAGCGGUGAAAUGCGUAGAUAUUAGGAGGAACACCAGUGGCGAAGGCGGCUUUCUGGACAGUAACUGACGCUGAGGCGCGAAAGCGUGGGGAGCAAACAGGAUUAGAUACCCUGGUAGUCCACGCUGUAAACGAUGGAUACUAGGUGUAGGAGGUAUCGACCCCUUCUGUGCCGGAGUUAACACAAUAAGUAU